rnacentral:rRNA from 1 species
GACGAACGCUGGCGGCGUGCUUAACACAUGCAAGUCGAACGGAAAGGCCCUGCUUUUGUGGGGUGCUCGAGUGGCGAACGGGUGAGUAACACGUGAGUAACCUGCCCUUGACUUUGGGAUAACUUCAGGAAACUGGGGCUAAUACCGGAUAGGAGCUCCUGCUGCAUGGUGGGGGUUGGAAAGUUUCGGCGGUUGGGGAUGGACUCGCGGCUUAUCAGCUUGUUGGUGGGGUAGUGGCUUACCCAGGCUUUGACGGGUAGCCGGCCUGAGAGGGUGACCGGCCACAUUGGGACUAAGAUACGGCCCAGACUCCUACGGGAGGCAGCAGUGGGGAAUAUUGCACAAUGGGCGGAAGCCUGAUGCAGCAACGCCGCGUGCGGGAUGACGGCCUUCGGGUUGUAAACCGCUUUCGCCUGUGACGAAGCGUGAGUGACGGUAAUGGGUAAAGAAGCACCGGCUAACUACGUG